rnacentral:rRNA from 1 species
GGGUUGUGAGGUUAAGCGACUAAGCGUACACGGUGGAUGCCCUGGCAGUCAGAGGCGAUGAAGGACGUGCUAAUCUGCGAAAAGCGUCGGUAAGGUGAUAUGAACCGUUAUAACCGGCGAUGUCCGAAUGGGGAAACCCAGUGUGAUUCGUCACACUAUCGUUAACUGAAUACAUAGGUUAACGAGGCGAACCGGGGGAACUGAAACAUCUAAGUACCCCGAGGAAAAGAAAUCAACCGAGAUUCCCCCAGUAGCGGCGAGCGAACGGGGAGCAGCCCAGAGUCUGAAUCAGCUUGUGUGUUAGUGGAACGGUCUGGAAAGUCCGACGGUACAGGGUGAUAGUCCCGUACACCAAAAUGCACAGGCUGUGAACUCGAAGAGUAGGGCGGGACACGUGGUAUCCUGUCUGAAUAUGGGGGGACCAUCCUCCAAGGCUAAAUACUCCUGACUGACCGAUAGUGAACCAGUACCGUGAGGGAAAGGCGAAAAGAACCCCGGCGAGGGGAGUGAAAAAGAACCUGAAACCGUGUACGUACAAGCAGUGGGAGCACCUUCGGGUGUGACUGCGUACCUUUUGUAUAAUGGGUCAGCGACUUAUAUUCUGUAGCAAGGUUAACCGUAUAGGGGAGCCGCAGGGAAACCGAGUCUUAACUGGGCGUUAAGUUGCAGGGUAUAGACCCGAAACCCGGUGAUCUAGCCAUGGGCAGGUUGAAGGUUGGGUAACACUAACUGGAGGACCGAACCGACUAAUGUUGAAAAAUUAGCGGAUGACUUGUGGCUGGGGGUGAAAGGCCAAUCAAACCGGGAGAUAGCUGGUUCUCCCCGAAAGCUAUUUAGGUAGCGCCUCGUGAAUUCAUCUUCGGGGGUAGAGCACUGUUUCGGCUAGGGGGUCAUCCCGACUUACCAACCCGAUGCAAACUACGAAUACCGAAGAAUGUUAUCACGGGAGACACACGGCGGGUGCUAACGUCCGUCGUGAAGAGGGAAACAACCCAGACCGCCAGCUAAGGUCCCAAAGUCAUGGUUAAGUGGGAAACGAUGUGGGAAGGCACAGACAGCCAGGAUGUUGGCUUAGAAGCAGCCAUCAUUUAAAGAAAGCGUAAUAGCUCACUGGUCGAGUCGGCCUGCGCGGAAGAUGUAACGGGGCUAAACCAUGCACCGAAGCUGCGGCAGCGACACUAUGUGUUGUUGGGUAGGGGAGCGUUCUGUAAGCCUGCGAAGGUGACCUGUGAGGGUUGCUGGAGGUAUCAGAAGUGCGAAUGCUGACAUAAGUAACGAUAAAGCGGGUGAAAAGCCCGCUCGCCGGAAGACCAAGGGUUCCUGUCCAACGUUAAUCGGGGCAGGGUGAGUCGACCCCUAAGGCGAGGCCGAAAGGCGUAGUCGAUGGGAAACAGGUUAAUAUUCCUGUACUUGGUGUUACUGCGAAGGGGGGACGGAGAAGGCUAUGUUAGCCGGGCGACGGUUGUCCCGGUUUAAGCAUGUAGGCUGGUUAUCCAGGCAAAUCCGGAUAAUCAAGGCUGAGGUGUGAUGACGAGGCACUACGGUGCUGAAGUAACAAAUGCCCUGCUUCCAGGAAAAGCCUCUAAGCAUCAGGUAACAUCAAAUCGUACCCCAAACCGACACAGGUGGUCAGGUAGAGAAUACCAAGGCGCUUGAGAGAACUCGGGUGAAGGAACUAGGCAAAAUGGUGCCGUAACUUCGGGAGAAGGCACGCUGGUGUGUAGGUGAAGUCCCUGCGGAUGGAGCUGAGACCAGUCGAAGAUACCAGCUGGCUGCAACUGUUUAUUAAAAACACAGCACUGUGCAAACACGAAAGUGGACGUAUACGGUGUGACGCCUGCCCGGUGCCGGAAGGUUAAUUGAUGGGGUUAUCCGUAAGGAGAAGCUCUUGAUCGAAGCCCCGGUAAACGGCGGCCGUAACUAUAACGGUCCUAAGGUAGCGAAAUUCCUUGUCGGGUAAGUUCCGACCUGCACGAAUGGCGUAAUGAUGGCCAGGCUGUCUCCACCCGAGACUCAGUGAAAUUGAACUCGCUGUGAAGAUGCAGUGUACCCGCGGCAAGACGGAAAGACCCCGUGAACCUUUACUAUAGCUUGACACUGAACAUUGAGCCUUGAUGUGUAGGAUAGGUGGGAGGCUUUGAAGCGUGGACGCCAGUCUGCGUGGAGCCAACCUUGAAAUACCACCCUUUAAUGUUUGAUGUUCUAACGUUGGCCCCUUAUCGGGGUUGCGGACAGUGUCUGGUGGGUAGUUUGACUGGGGCGGUCUCCUCCCAAAGCGUAACGGAGGAGCACGAAGGUUAGCUAAUCCUGGUCGGACAUCAGGAGGUUAGUGCAAUGGCAUAAGCUAGCUUGACUGCGAGCGUGACGGCGCGAGCAGGUGCGAAAGCAGGUCAUAGUGAUCCGGUGGUUCUGAAUGGAAGGGCCAUCGCUCAACGGAUAAAAGGUACUCCGGGGAUAACAGGCUGAUACCGCCCAAGAGUUCAUAUCGACGGCGGUGUUUGGCACCUCGAUGUCGGCUCAUCACAUCCUGGGGCUGAAGUAGGUCCCAAGGGUAUGGCUGUUCGCCAUUUAAAGUGGUACGCGAGCUGGGUUUAGAACGUCGUGAGACAGUUCGGUCCCUAUCUGCCGUGGGCGCUGGAGAAUUGAGGGGGGCUGCUCCUAGUACGAGAGGACCGGAGUGGACGCAUCACUGGUGUUCGGGUUGUCAUGCCAAUGGCACUGCCCGGUAGCUAAAUGCGGAAGAGAUAAGUGCUGAAAGCAUCUAAGCACGAAACUUGCCCCGAGAUGAGUUCUCCCUGAGACUUUAAGUCUCCUGAAGGAACGUUGAAGACGACGACGUUGAUAGGCCGGGUGUGUAAGCGCAGCGAUGCGUUGAGCUAACCGGUACUAAUGAACCGUGAGGCUUAACCUUACAACGCCGAAG